UACGGAGGAUCCGAGCGUUAUCCGGAUUUAUUGGGUUUGAAGGGUGCGUAGGCGGCCUGUUAAGUCAGGGGUGAAAGACGGUAGCUCAACUAUCGCAGUGCCCUUGAUACUGAUGGGCUUGAAUGUACUAGAGGUAGGCGGAAUGUGACAAGUAGCGGUGAAAUGCAUAGAUAUGUCACAGAACACCAAUUGCGAAGGCAGCUUACUAUGGUAUUUAUUGACGCUGAGGCACGAAAGCGUGGGGAUCAAACAGG
rnacentral:rRNA from 1 species